GAGGAAUAUUGGUCAAUGGACGGAAGUCUGAACCAGCCAAGUAGCGUGCAGGAUGACGGCCCUAUGGGUUGUAAACUGCUUUUGUAUGGGGAUAAAGUUAGGGACGUGUCCCUAUUUGCAGGUACCAUACGAAUAAGGACCGGCUAAUUCCGUGCCAGCAGCCGCGGUAAUACGGAAGGUCCAGGCGUUAUCCGGAUUUAUUGGGUUUAAAGGGAGCGUAGGCUGGAGAUUAAGUGUGUUGUGAAAUGUAGACGCUCAACGUCUGAAUUGCAGCGCAUACUGGUUUCCUUGAGUACGCACAACGUUGGCGGAAUUCGUCGUGUAGCGGUGAAAUGCUUAGAUAUGACGAAGAACUCCGAUUGCGAAGGCAGCUUACGGGAGCACAACUGACGCUGAAGCUCGAAGGUGCGGGUAUCAAACAGGAUUAGAUACCCUGGUAGUCCGCACAGUAAACGAUGGAUGCCCGUUGUUAGUUCACUUUAGAAUUAGCGACCAAGCGAAAGCAUUAAGCAUCCCACCUGGGGAGUACGCCGGCAACGGUG
rnacentral:rRNA from 1 species